rnacentral:rRNA from 1 species
UACGGAGGGUGCAAGCGUUAUCCGGAUUCACUGGGUUUAAAGGGUGCGUAGGUUGAUAGGUAAGUCAGUGGUGAAAUACUCCGACUCAAUCGGAGAACUGCCGUUGAUACUAUCUAUCUUGAAUACGGUGGAGGCGGGCGGAAUGCGUCAUGUAGUGGUGAAAUACUUAGAUAUGACGCAGAACACCCAUUGCGAAGGCAGCUCGCUACACCGGCAUUGACACUGGGGCACGAAAGCGUGGGGAUCAAACAGG